GAUCAUGGCUCAGGACAAACGCUGGCGGCGUGCCUAACACAUGCAAGUCGAACGGGCGAAGAGGGGAGCUUGCUUUCCUCAGAGCUAGUGGCGGACGGGUGAGUAACGCGUGAGUAACCUGCCUUGGAGAGGGGAAUAACACAAAGAAAUUUGUGCUAAUACCGCAUAUGGUGGCAGUACCGCAUGGUACAGCCAUGAAAGAUUUAUCGCUCCAAGAUGGACUCGCGUCCGAUUAG
rnacentral:rRNA from 1 species